UAGGGAAUUUUCGUCAAUGGGGGAAGCCCUGAACGAGCAAUGCCGCGUGUGUGAAGAAGGUCUUCGGAUCGUAAAGCACUGUUGUAAGUGAAGAAUGCCACAUAGAGGAAAUGCUAUGUGGGUGACGGUAGCUUACCAGAAAGCCACGGCUAACUACGUGCCAGCAGCCGCGGUAAUACGUAGGUGGCAAGCGUUAUCCGGAAUCAUUGGGCGUAAAGGGUGCGUAGGUGGCACGAUAAGUCUGAAGUAAAAGGCAACAGCUCAACUGUUGUAUGCUUUGGAAACUGUCGAGCUAGAGUGCAGAAGAGGGCGAUGGAAUUCCAUGUGUAGCGGUAAAAUGCGUAGAUAUAUGGAGGAACACCAGUGGCGAAGGCGGUCGCCUGGUCUGUAACUGACACUGAUGCACGAAAGCGUGGGGAGCAAAGCAGGAUUAGAUACCC
rnacentral:rRNA from 1 species